rnacentral:rRNA from 1 species
AUUGAACGCUGGCGGCAGGCCUAACACCUGCAAGUCGAGCGAGCGGCGGACGGGUGAGUAAUGUCUGGGAAACUGCCUGAUGGAGGGGGAUAACUACUGGAAACGGUAGCUAAUACCGCAUACCAUCAGAUGUGCCCAGAUGGGAUUAUCUAGUAGGUGGGGUAACGGCUCACCUAGGCGACGAUCCCUAGCUGGUCGGAGAGGAUGACCAGACAAAAUGGAACGGAGACACGGUCCAGACUCCGACGGGAGGCAGAAGUGGGGAAGAUUGCACAAUGGGAGCAAGCCUGAUGAAGCCAUGCCGCGUGUGGGAAGAAGGCCUUCGGGUUGUAAAGCACUGUCAGCGGGGAGGCGUUAACAGCAGAAGAAGCACCGGCUAACUCCGUGCCAGCAGCCGCGGUAAUAC